rnacentral:rRNA from 1 species
UACAGAGGGUGCAAGCAUUAAUCGGAUUUAUUGGGUUUAAAGGGUGCGUAGGUGGCUUAUUAAGUCAGGGGUGAAAGACGGUAGCUUAACUAUCGCAGUGCCUUUGAUACUGAUGAGCUUGAAUGAACUAGAGGUAGGCGGAAUGUGACAAGUAGCGGUGAAAUGCAUAGAUAUGUCACAGAACACCAAUUGCGAAGGCAGCUUACUAUGGUUAGAUUGACACUGAGGCACGAAAGCGUGGGGAUCAAACAGG